GGCUAGGGCACAGCAGGCUUUAUCGCUGCUCAGCAGUUCCUAUUCCCCUCCCUGUAUCUUCAACUCUUCAGCAAGAGCCCACAGCUGAGGGAGGAAGUUAAAGGAGCUAUCAAGCAGCCGGGGAGCACAGUAGGCUGAAAGAUCCUUGGUUGCUUUAAAGCAGAGAACAGUUUUGUGCUGACGUGACUGCUCAGAUUCAGCUGCCAGUGCAUCUGUGGGGGCAGCACAACCUCAGUACCUGAUUGAUGAACUGCAAGUUCAAAAUCACGUGAAUUUUCACAUUCAGGAUCUGCAGGUCAAGACGAUCUGAGCAGAUGAUGCAAAGAAAGAGGAUGCUUUGGAAACUCAGUACUAAUGGGAACACAAGAGCCCAAGGGCCUAUAAAGAAACCCUCAACAGUACAUCAACACAUUCUGUUCCCAGCAAGAAUAUUGUUGUGAACCCUCAAUUAUGAAGAACUGCACACAGUGUAUAACGAGCCCAUAAGGGUAAGGAUUCACUACAACAGCAAAGGUGUGAUCACCACCGACCUAAGUCACAAUAGUGGGACUGAAAAAAUCAGGUUGCGUAUGUAAGACAGGCAUGCAUGCAAAAUGCAAACAGUGCAACAAAGGAUUGCAAGCCCUAGCUGCUUAAAAGAAACAUCAUCAUAAGAAGUGUUCCUUCUCAGGAGGAAGCUGCGUUGAAGAUGAUGAAAGGAACAGGUCUGAACAUGCAGGAUCUUCGGAGGGAUCCAUCCUCAACAUACAGCAUUCUGAAGACUAUCCACCUUCAAGAUCACCAUAAUUUUCUAUAGUUUCAGAGUUAUCUGCCAAUGAUAGUGUUUCAGUUACAUCAUGUAUGUCACACAGCCACAGUAUAUAUCACCUGUAGCAAAAAGAAAAAAAAGUCCAUCAUCCAGAAACAACCAUAGAUAAGUUUGUGAUAAGAACCAGGAGAUUACAAAGAGAUAAUUGAUGAAAAAAUUGCCCAGUUUGUUUAUGCAACAAACUUUCCUUUCCGUAUGAUUGAGAACUCACACUUCAUUAACACGGUUCAGUCAUUAAGACCAAGAUACAGUCCACCCAACAGAGCAGAUGUCACAGGCAAAUUGCUGGAUAAAGUGUAUGAAAGCGAAAUUGAGCAGUGUGCAAAAGGUCUAGAGGGUAAAAUUGUUAACCUGAGCCUUGAUGGGUGAAGCAAUGUCCACAAUGAUCCUGUUGUACGUGCUUGUGGUGACAACAGAAGAAGGGAAUGUCUUCCUUACAGAAACAAUUGAUAGAUCAGGAAAUGCACACACAGCAGAAUACUUACAAGAAGUAGCAGUAAAAGCUAUAACAAACUGUGAAAAAAACUUCAAAAUGUCUAGUAUGCAGCUUGGUCACAGACAAUGCUGCAAAUGUAUCCAAGAUGAGAAGAAAUUAUUUAGGAGCGUGUGAAGAGAGUCCCAAGCUAACAACAUACAGUUGGCAGUGCUCAUUUGAUGCACCUCCAAACCAAAGACUUCAGUGUUCCAGAAAUAAAGGCUAAUGUUGUUGAAAUUGCAAAAUUCUUCCGUAACAACCACUUUGCAGCAGUUGCCCUGAAAAAAGUGGGCGACGCCAAGCUAACUCUCCCACAAGACGUGUGAUGGAACUCAGUAGUGGACUGUUUUGAGCACUAUAUCAAGAACUGGCCUAAUCUGAUGAGUUUGUGAACAAAAUAGUGAAAAAAUUGAUGGCACUGUCACAGACAAAGUUCUCAACAUUGGGCAUAAGAGAAAUGUUAAACACAUGCUGAGUACCCUGAAGCCUAUUUCUGUAGACUUGAACAAAAUGCAGGAAAAUAGCUUUUUUAUUGCCGACACUGUUGAAAUUUGGAAGGAACUGAGUGAGACCUUAAAAAGAGAAAUAUGCAAUGACAGAGUUAAAUUACAAGCAUUAAAAAACCGAAUAAGACAAGCACUAUCUCCAGCUCAUUUUCUUGCAAAUAUUCUCAAUACUCAGUACCGGGGUCAAACCUUAACUGCUGAAGAAGAGGAGUUGACUGUGAUAUGGACAUCCAGCAAUGAUCCCUCCAUACUAAUAAUCUUCAGAGCUAAUGGUGAACCAUUCAAGAAAUAUAUGUUUGCUGAUGACGUUUUAAAGAAAGUUACACCAGUAAACUGGUGGAUGUCACUUAAGCACUUGGAUUCAGAGACUGUUGAAGUGAUAAUCUCACUUUUAACAGCAGUAGCUUCUUCAGACGGUUUAGAAAGAAUAUUUUCUUCCUUUGGACUAAUUCAUUCCAAAUGGAGAAAUCGGUUGGGACCUGAAAAAGCAGGAAAGCCUGUUUUUCUUUUCCAGAUUAUGAACAAACAGGAAAAUGAAGGUGAAGACAACUAAGUUAGCUGCAGAAGCCAAUAUUUUAAGUUUCUCAUGUUGACCUAGCUGACAUAAGAGAUUUAAUACUUUUUUUAAUUUCAUUUAACUAUUUUAAAUUAACAAAAACAAACCUGAUUUUAAAAAACUUGAAUGUUUAACUACAUUCAAAAAUUCAUAUGCUUGUUUUGUUACAUUAUUAUAUGUCUGCUUUUGAAGAAAAAAAAUCCAGAAUUUAUAAGGUGGUUGUUUUUAGUUAAAUAAAACAA